rnacentral:rRNA from 1 species
UACGUAGGGUGCAAGCGUUGUCCGGAAUUAUUGGGCGUAAAGAGCUCGUAGGCGGUCUGUCGCGUCGGCUGUGAAAACUCGGGGCUCAACUCCGAGCUUGCAGUCGAUACGGGCAAGCUAGAGUUCGGCAGGGGAGACUGGAAUUCCUGGUGUAGCGGUGAAAUGCGCAGAUAUCAGGAGGAACACCGGUGGCGAAGGCGGGUCUCUGGGCCGAUACUGACGCUGAGGAGCGAAAGCGUGGGGAGCGAACAGG